rnacentral:rRNA from 1 species
UACAGAGGGGGCAAGCGUUAUUCGGAAUUACUGGGCGUAAAGAGCGCGCAGGCGGUCGUUCAAGUCGCGUGUGAAAGCCCCCGGCUCAACUGGGGAGGGUCACGCGAUACUGAUCGACUCGAAGGCAGGAGAGGGUAGUGGAAUUCCCGGUGUAGUGGUGAAAUGCGUAGAUAUCGGGAGGAACACCAGUGGCGAAGGCGACUACCUGGCCUGUUCUUGACGCUGAGGCGCGAAAGCUAGGGGAGCAAACGGG